CAACAACAACAACAACAACAACAACAACAACAACAACAACAACAACAACCACCACCACAACAACAAUAAUAACAACAACAACAACAACAAGAACAACAACAAUACCUACAACAACAAAAACAAAAACAAGAACAACGACAAUCACAAGAACAAGAACAACAACAACAAUAACAACAACAACAACGACAACAACAACAACAACAACAACAACAAAAACAAGAAUGACGACGACUACAACGACAAAGACAAGAACAACGACAACAACAACAAAAAA
rnacentral:lncRNA from 1 species